rnacentral:rRNA from 1 species
UACGGAGGGUGCAAGCGUUGUCCGGAUUUAUUGGGUUUAAAGGGUGCGUAGGCGGCCCGUUAAGUCAGCGGUGAAAUCCCGGGGCUCAACCCCGGAACUGCCGUUGAUACUGGUGGGCUUGAGUUCGGUGAAGGCGGGCGGAACUGGCGGUGUAGCGGUGAAAUGCUUAGAUACCGCCAAGAACCCCGAUUGCGUAGGCAGCUCGCUGUGCCGAAACUGACGCUGAGGCACGAAAGCGUGGGGAGCGAACAGG